rnacentral:lncRNA from 1 species
UUUGUUUAAAUAUUAGUUGUUGUGACAUUCCCCAAUGAGUACAAACGGAAUACCUUCUUUCUAGGUGGAUUGAAAUGAAUGGAUUUUAGUGAGUUCAAACCUUAACCCAAACCCACUAUUAAGAAUGUGUUUAUUUCAAUCAUUUUCUAAUUAUCAAUAAACUUUAGAGUCAAACUCAUGUGUCUAUACUAGUCAUUGGCAUUGAACUAAACCUAACAUUUUCAAACAUACCCUUAUUCUAUCAAAAACUCUACCUUGCUAGUAUUUUAUUUUUUUAAAAAAUCUAAUUUGAAGGUUUCCCCAAAAUUCUAAGGUCAGAGAAACAUGCUAGAACACCAG